GAUGAACGCUGGCGGCGUGCCUAACACAUGCAAGUCGAACGAUGAACCGGGUGCUUGCACUUGGGGAUUAGUGGCGAACGGGUGAGUAACACGUGAGUAACCUGCCCUGGACUCAGGGAUAACCCCGAGAAAUCGGAGCUAAUACCGGAUAGGACCUUUCCUCGCAUGAGGUUUGGUGGAAAGUUUUUCGGUCUGGGAUGGACUCGCGGCCUAUCAGCUUGUUGGUGAGGUAAUGGCUCACCAAGGCGUCGACGGGUAGCCGGCCUGAGAGGGUGACCGGCCACACUGGGACUGAGACACGGCCUAGACUCCUACGGGAGGCAGCAGUGGGGAAUAUUGCACAAUGGGCGCAAGCCUGAUGCAGCAACGCCGCGUGCGGGAUGACGGCCUUCGGGUUGUAAACCGCUUUUAGUAGGGAAGAAGGGCUUCGGCUUGACGGUACCUGCAGAAAAAGGACCGGCUAACUACGUGCCAGCCGCCGCCGUAACAC
rnacentral:rRNA from 1 species